AGCGAACGCUGGCGGCAGGCUUAACACAUGCAAGUCGAGCGGGCCCUUCGGGGUCAGCGGCAGACGGGUGAGUAACGCGUGGGAACGUGCCCUUCGGUUCGGAAUACCUCAGGGAAACUUGAGCUAAUACCGGAUACGCCCUUAUGGGGAAAGGCUUGCUGCCGAAGGAUCGGCCCGCGUCUGAUUAGCUAGUUGGUUGGGUUAUGGCUCACCAAGGCGACGAUCAGUAGCUGGUCUGAGAGGAGGAUCAGCCACACUGGAACUGAGACACGGCCCAGACUCCUACGGGAGGGAGGAGUGGGGAAUAUUGGACAAUGGGGGCAACCCUGAUCCAGCCAUGCCGCGUGAGUGAUGACGGCCUUAGGGUUGUAAAGCUCUUUUCUCCGGGACGAUAAUGACGGUACCGGAGGAAUAAGCCCCGGCUAACUUCGUG
rnacentral:rRNA from 1 species